CCAAAAAUCAUUAGCGAGCUCCCUUCACUCGUCUUCCAUUCUUCUUGGAUCCAUGCCUUAUUUUUUCAAAUUAUUUAAGCCCUUUUUUAACCCUAUUUUUCUACUGCUUUGACUUUGCUUUCAGGCCACUGCAUCGACUGAUGACCAUUCCAAUCUCCUCAACCUACUGACCACUAGGCCCCUCCUCUUCCUCUUCUCUCCUCUUUCCUUUUCCUUUCCCUCUUCUCCUUCUCAUCUUUUCAUCUUCUUCUUCUUAUUUUCUCUAAUUUUCCCCCCUUUUCUUCUUGUUUUCCUGUAUUUAUUAUUUCCUAUAAAUUUCAAUCAUUCUCUCUCACCUAAUUCUUAUACCAGC
rnacentral:lncRNA from 1 species